rnacentral:rRNA from 1 species
GACGAACGCUGGCGGCGUGCCUAAUACAUGCAAGUCGAGCGGACCACUUCGGUGGUCAGCGGCGGACGGGUGGGUAACACGUGGGCAACCUGCCUGUAAGACUGGGAUAACACCGGGAAACCGGUGCUAAUACCGGAUAAUCCUUUCCUUCACAUGAAGGGAAGCUGAAAGACGGUUUCGGCUGUCACUUACAGAUGGGCCCGCGGCGCAUUAGCUAGUUGGUGAGGUAACGGCUCACCAAGGCAACGAUGCGUAGCCGACCUGAGAGGGUGAUCGGCCACACUGGGACUGAGACACGGCCCAGACUCCUACGGGAGGCAGCAGUAGGGAAUCUUCCGCAAUGGACGAAAGUCUGACGGAGCAACGCCGCGUGAGCGAUGAAGGCCUUCGGGUCGUAAAGCUCUGUUGUCAGGGAAGAACAUGUACCGGAGUAACUGCCGGUACCUUGACGGUACCUGACCAGAAAGCCACGGCUAACUACGUGCCAGCCGCCGCAGUAAUAC